AGGAAAUAUAGAAUUUAACGGCGUUUAUUUAGCGACGUUUUUUUAAACACCACUGUUUCUAACCUUUAACGACGUUUUUUAAACGUCACAUUUUAUUUUGAUUAAAACGGUACCGUUUAAGGAAUACAAGUCGUUUUUUAAACGUCUUCACAUGUAUUACAAUAACGUUAUUCCUCCGUGUUUCUCUUAGCUCUGUGAGAAUCAGAGCCGUUCUCUCACUCUCUUCAAGCCCUCACUAAUCCCUCAAAUCUCUCACUCACUCACUCACUCACUCGAUCGAUCGCUCUCUCUCUCUCUCUCUCUCUCUAAACCCUUGAGUCUCAGAGAUUAAGAUUCAACCUUAUUCAGCUAGGUUUCAUCUCAGAUCCAAUCUCAGAGUGUUUUCGAUUUCGAAGUUCUCUCUCUCUCGAUUUCGAAGCUCGACCGCCGCCACCAUCACCACCACCGUUGACUAAGGCUUCGCUUGAUCAAUCUCUACCUUUCCAGGGAAACGGUGCUAUUGCACUUCUUCUUGGUGCUUUCUACUUGCUCAGUGGAUGCUACUCACUGCACUUGGGUCACUUCAGAGGCAUAUUCAUCUCCCUCAAUUGUCUUAGCUGCAAGGGGUGCACAUGGUAACAGGGUCAUUUUUUAUGAUUACCGCGAAGCAUACUUCUGGCUUUGGCAGAAUACUCCUCCAGAUGCUAAGGUGAUGUCCUGGUGGGAUUAAGGAUUUGACCGUUUGCUGAAAAAUAGCUUAAAGAAAUUGUAUUCUAAUCUUGUUAUAUAUCUUUUUUUGAACCAAACCUUCUUUUUAUAGUGAUAAAAACACUGAAUGGUUCUGUUUUUUU